CGGGGUGUAGCGCAGUUGGAAGCGCGCCGCGUUUGGGACGCGGAGGUCGGCGGUUCAAGUCCGCCCACCCCGA
rnacentral:tRNA from 1 species